UACAGAGGUCUCAAGCGUUGUUCGGAAUCACUGGGCGUAAAGGGUGCGUAGGUGGCGUGGUAAGUCAGAUGUGAAAGCCCGGGGCUCAACCUCGGAACUGCAUCCGAUACUGCCGUGCUUGAGGACUGGAGAGGAGACUGGAAUUUACGGUGUAGCGGUGAAAUGCGUAGAUAUCGUAAGGAAGACCAGUGGCGAAGGCGGGUCUCUGGACAGUUCCUGACGCUGAGGCACGAAGGCCAGGGGAGCAAACGGG
rnacentral:rRNA from 1 species